UAAUGUGAUGCCGAAAUUGCAAGUUUUA
rnacentral:sRNA from 1 species